AAAAGGUGGCUAUGCUACCGCUUUUGGAUGGGCCCGCGGCGCAUUAGCUAGUUGGUGGGGUAAAGGCUUACCAAGGCAAUGAUGCGUAGCCGAACUGAGAGGUUGAUCGGCCACAUUGGGACUGAGACACGGCCCAAACUCCUACGGGAGGCAGCAGUAGGGAAUCUUCCACAAUGGGCGAAAGCCUGAUGGAGCAACGCCGCGUGGGUGAAGAAGGUCUUCGGAUCGUAAAACCCUGUUGUUAGAGGAGAAAGUGCGUGAGAGUAACUGUUCACGUUUCGACGGUAUCUAACCAGAAAGCCACGGCUAACUACGUGCCAGCAGCCGCGGUAAUACGUAGGUGGCAAGCGUUAUCCGGAUUUAUUGGGCGUAAAGGGAACGCAGGCGGUCUUUUAAGUCUGAUGUGAAAGCCUUCGGCUUAACCGGAGUAGUGCAUUGGAAACUGGGAGACUUGAGUGCAGAAGAGGAGAGUGGAACUCCAUGUGUAGCGGUGAAAUGCGUAGAUAUAUGGAAGAACACCAGUGGCGAAAGCGGCUCUCUGGUCUGUAACUGACGCUGAGGUUCGAAAGCGUGGGUAGCAAACAGGAUUAGAUACCCUGGUAGUCCACGCCGUAAACGAUGAAUGCUAAGUGUUGGAGGGUUUCCGCCCUUCA
rnacentral:rRNA from 1 species